UCAUCCUCCAGGAAUUGUGUACAGAUCCUUGCAACAUGAGGCCAAGCAUUAUCAUGCUGCAUGAGGUGAUGGUCAUGGAUGAAUGGCA